rnacentral:tRNA from 1 species
GCUUCCGUGGCUCAGUUGGUAGAGCAACGCAUUCGUAAUGCGUGGGUCGGGGGUUCGAGUCCCCCCGGGAGCU